CACUUACUUGACCAAUUUGGAAGAUUGGAUCUUGAAUUGGUUGCUUAGCAGUUGGGUUUAGCCCAUACUAGUUAGAUUGGUCAUAUGAUGAUUAAUUAGAUGAGACCUAAACCUAAAUUUUUUUAUAAAUAUUAAGUCCAUAGGUCUUCCACCAUUGUAGAUGUGCAGACGUGCUACCGGCGUUAAUUAUUCUCGACUAGUUACAG
rnacentral:lncRNA from 1 species